AAAAAAGAAUGCUUAGAGGCGACGCGGAUGACAUUGCUAAACAAUUUUUGAAGAGAAGCUGCGAAUCGAGGGCGUUACGGUCACUUCACUCGUCUAGAGGCGUGACUCGUGAAAAUAAGUAUCAAGGUGAAGCUGAUAAUUGGAUCAAGGUUCUAAAAGGGCCUGCAUACAAGGAAGCCCUUGGGUCAUAUAGGCACGUGGUUAUUAUUCCUAAUGUAUGUAUGUAGACCGUUCUGUCUCACCAGAGUACAAUGAUCCAUGAUGAGUUUCUAGCUAAAUAACUGAGAGGUGACUUCAACAGGGAUUUACAGCAUGCCAUUAACCCGUUAGUAUUUACAUAAGGACAAUGAGCUCUAUAGCAGUAGCCGUAAUGCUCACGUGGGUAACCACGAUUUCUUCAACCGGACUCUUACUCCAAAUCGUACUGGUGGACGCUAUGGGGUGAUUUAUUGACAUGAGUGUAUUUUUCUUCUUUAACGCAUCUUUAUUUUUUUUGUAGGACUGUACUCCCAUCAUCCGGUUUGAUUCGUGGGGCUAAUUAUGAAUUUCCUGUCGAUUUUGAUACUUGAGACUAAUCAUGGAAUCUGAUGAGCAAUGCAAUUUUAAUGUAACACUUGGAUCACUUAAUGAGGGCGCUGAGAAUCCAGAUCCAUCGCUACGUCAAGGGAACGAUGGUCUACGUGAUGUAGAUCAGGGAGGAUGAUAAGUUCUUGGCUAUGUAUACAAGGCAGGACGUGACAUAUAGUUCACGUGGUGGAUACAUGUUUAUACGUUUUGCGUCUAGGGAAGAAAUAGAAGUCGCGUUGACAGUUCACAAGCAACAAUACAUAACAAUGAACAAGUCCUUUCAUUCGGCACGUAGUCACAUAGGGGAUUUGUUUAUUUCAUUCGAGGACACUGAUCAGAGAAGAUAUAAUUUAAUUUUUCAAGUAUACAGAGAUUACUUAACAUUGACUUUUCAAUUGGACUUAUAUUUAUACACGUCGAAUAGAAUAUUGUAUUUCUGUUUUAUUCUGCAAUUGAUUAUUUGCUUGGAGCUUAUUUGGUUGAAACUACUUGUACUUGUUUUAUGUUUAGGGGAUAUAUUGCAUAGGGGAGAAUUGGGAUUGUCGAUAACCUGUUUUUCGCAAAAUAAUCUGUUGAUGCUAGUCAAAAUGAUGAAGUACCGAACUCUAAGUUAAUAAUCAAACGCGAAUACGUUCGUCAUUCGCAGCUAUGAUAAUAGCGAUAAGAUAACAUUUACAUUUAUUCAAUUAGUCGUUUGGCGAACGAUCGUUUUUAUUUGUAUUCUUGCUCAUAGAGUCUUCAGUGUGUAUGAUAAAUUUAAAUGACUUUAUAUCGCUCCAUCAGACUUAACUCAUUGUUGCGUUACUAUUAGCCAACGUCGGUGUGAUUCGUAGAAACGUAAAAGAAGAAAAUGUCACUCUCAGUCCAAGUAAAGGGAGAGUUGAAAGUCAUUUGUCUCUGUCAAUUCCAAGAGAGCUCAGGCCAUAUUUUUAAAUGCUGUACAAACCAAAGAUCUUUUUCGCAUAGACGCAUAGCGAGACUGAUGAAUCAUUGAAACUCGUUGAUGAGUUAGAAUAAAAUAUUUUAAAUGUU